GUCUAAGUAUAAGCAACUAUACGGUGAAACUGCGAAUGGCUCAUUAAAUCAGUUAUCGUUUAUUUGAUAGUACCUUACUACUUGGAUAACCGUGGUAAUUCUAGAGCUAAUACAUGCUAAAAACCCCGACUUCGGGAGGGGUGUAUUUAUUAGAUAAAAAACCAACGCCCUUCGGGGCUCCUUGGUGAUUCAUAAUAACUUAACGAAUCGCAUGGCCUUGCGCCGGCGAUGGUUCAUUCAAAUUUCUGCCCUAUCAACUUUCGAUGGUAGGAUAGUGGCCUACCAUGGUAUCAACGGGUAACGGGGAAUUAGGGUUCUAUUCCGGAGAGGGAGCCUGAGAAACGGCUACCACAUCCAAGGAAGGCAGCAGGCGCGCAAAUUACCCAAUCCCGACACGGGGAGGUAGUGACAAUAAAUACUGAUACAGGGCUCUUUUGGGUCUUGUAAUUGGAAUGAGUACAAUUUAAAUCCCUUAACGAGGAACAAUUGGAGGGCAAGU
rnacentral:rRNA from 1 species